GGGUAAUCUGUGUUUUGAGAUGUUCCCCAGCUUUCCUGUGUUUUAGUCCAUAUUGUUUAUGUAAGAGUGCUUUCCCCUUGACUUUGGCGGGAAUUUGUACGUGUCUCGUGAAUCUCGUUUUCAUUUCGUUCAGUGCGUUGGUUGGUAGCCAUUGAGAGAGGAAGGUCUCUCUGUUCAGAAGUUGUGAUGUUUUUUUACACUUUAACAUGUUUCUUUUUGGUUGGAAACAGUUCAUCUUUGUAUAAGCAGCACUCGGUGAGAUUCAUUUGUGUGGAUUUGUGUGGAUGAUGGCGUAUAUCUUAUUUGUGUAAAAGGGCUAAAGAUCCUACAGAUCUUGCCUACCUUGUUCACAUGCUUAUAUGAUUACGUAGACUGAUGGUUGGUUUACAAGAUGUACCGGUAUACUUUGUGAAUAUGUCAGAUGAACUGUUGUAAAUAAUGUAAAGAUUUGGUUUGUCAAUAAACUACAUAUGAUCGAACCUGAAGAGAAGAUUUUGUAUAUAUUGAUACCCCUGAAGAGAUACCCAAAAUUACAAUGGAGCCCCCAGUGAUGUAGUUAACUAGCGACAAGAUCCAGAUCGAAGAUUGACAACAUUGACUUUUAUAAACUGUUACAGAAGUGAUAUUUGUAUUAAGUGAUUCAUUUUGGACACUGAAAGGAGUUGUAUUAUUUUGUAAUGCAACGGUGAAUUGAAUUUAGUCUACAACUAACAAAAAAUUAUUAUUUUAAGUACUGUAAAGACUAUAUUUUAUAAACAAAAUGUUUUAAGUAAUCCAACACUUCACAGCAAACAUUUUUUUAUAGAAGAUUAAUUAAUAAUUUUCAUAAAUAUUGAUAAAUAUUUGUGCUAUGCAAAUUUGACAUGUCUUUAGUGUAGGAAAGAUUAAUCAACCUUUGACAGAGGACACUUUUCGAGACUUGGAACACAUCUGGUUAGAAGAUCAUCAACAGAGGAUUAUUUGUAAAGUGACAGUGUGUAAAGACAUUGACUGUGGUUAGAUAAGCAGUGGUCCUCUCUGUGCAACUGUA